rnacentral:rRNA from 1 species
CCUACGUGUGGCAGCAGUGAGGAAUAUUGGUCAAUGGGCGGAAGCCUGAACCAGCCAAGUAGCGUGCGGGAUGAAGGCCCUACGGGUCGUAAACCGCUUUUGCACGGGGAUAACACCCUCCACUUGUGUAGUUCUGCAGGUACCGUGCGAAUAAGCGCCGGCUCAUUCCGUCCACGCCGCCACGGUAAUACGGACGGCCCGAGCGUUAUCCGGAUUCAUUGGGCUUAAAGGGAGCGUAGGCGGGCGUUCAAGUCAGCUGUAAAAUCGCGCGGCUCAACCGCGCCCCGCAGUUGAAACUGGACGCCUUGAGUUCACAACAGGCAGGCGGAAUGCGUGGUGUAGCGGUGAAAUGCAUAGAUAUCACGAGGAACCCCGAUUGCGAAGGCAGCCUGCCGGGGUGCGACUGACGCUGAGGCUCGAAGGUGCGGGUAUCAAACAGGAUUAGAUACCCCGGUAGUC